AGUGAACGCUAGCGAUGUGGUUAAGACAUGCAAGUCGAGCGGGAUCUCCUUCGGGAGUGAGAGCGGCGAACGGGUGCGUAACACGUAAGUAAUUUACCUUUAAGUGGGGGAUAGCCCGUCGAAAGACGGAUUAAUACCGCAAGUGGUCCUGGGUUGCAUAACCUGGGUACUAAAGCUUGUAAUGGCGCUUAAAGAGAAGCUUGCGGCCUAUCAGCUUGUUGGUGAGGUAACGGCACACCAAGGCUAAGACGGGUAACCGGUCUGAGAGGAUGAUCGGUCACACUGGAACUGAGAUACGGUCCAGACACCUACGGGUGGCAGCAGUUUCGAAUCAUUCACAAUGGGCGAAAGCCUGAUGGUGCGACAUCGCGUGGGGGACGAAGGUCUUCGGAUUGUAAACCCCUGUCAUCAAGGAACAAAAACUAGGCUCAUACCCUAGCUUGAGUUAACUUGAAGAGGAAGCAGUGGCUAACUCUGUGCCAGCAGCCGCAGUAAUA
rnacentral:rRNA from 1 species